UACGGAGGGUGCGAGCGUUGUCCGGAAUCACUGGGCGUAAAGGGCGCGUAGGUGGCGCGGGCAGUCAACGGUGAAAGUUCGGGGCUCAACCCUGAAUCGGCCGUCGAUACUCCCGUGCUGGAGCACUGUAGAGGCAGAUGGAAUUCCGGGUGUAGCGGUGGAAUGCGUAGAGAUCCGGAAGAACACCGGUGGCGAAGGCGGUCUGCUGGGCAGUAGUUGACACUGAGGCGCGACAGCGUGGGGAGCAAACAGG
rnacentral:rRNA from 1 species